CUACGCACUCCUACGGGAGGCAGCAGUGGGGAAUAUUGCACAAUGGGCGCAAGCCUGAUGCAGCCAUGCCGCGUGUAUGAAGAAGGCCUUCGGGUUGUAAAGUACUUUCAGCAGUGAGGAGGUGGGUAUGUUAAUAGCAUAUUCAUUUGACGUUAGCUGCAGAAGAAGCACCGGCUAACUCCGUGCCAGCAGCCGCGGUAAUACGGAGGGUGCGAGCGUUAAUCGGAAUUACUGGGCGUAAAGCGCAUGCAGGUGGUUUGUUAAGUCAGAUGUGAAAGCCCGGGGCUCAACCUCGGAAUUGCAUUUGAAACUGGCAAACUAGAGUACUGUAGAGGGGGUAGAAUUUCAGGUGUAGCGGUGAAAUGCGUAGAGAUCUGAAGGAAUACCGGUGGCGAAGGCGGCCCCCUGGACAGAUACUGACACUCAGAUGCGAAAGCGUGGGGAGCAAACAGGAUUAGAUACCCUGGUAG
rnacentral:rRNA from 1 species